AUGUUUAGAGAUAGUAAUAAUAGUAAAUUGUAUUUUUUUAUGCUACUAAGAUAUUACUUCCUUUUUCUUACCAUCAGAAUGGCGCAUCCAUAUUCCACCCCUCAAAAGCUGGCGCUAAAAUGUAUACAGACACGUCUAAUCCAAAAAGCUGGCUCAUUUGUCCGCCGAGGGUUUAAAAUUACCAUUGACACACAGCACACAUCAACAGUCUGUGCCCUCACAGAUGGUAGUAGGGCCAUUUACCACAAAAAAAAUGGCUCGUAUCCUGAAUUUGAGGAGGGGGCAUCGUAUAUUUUAAAAAAUUGCACAUUGUCCGACAGACAUGGGAGGCUCUGUCUUCUUGUGGGAAGAUCCACAUUAAAGUUUAGAACAGCUCCAUUAAAAAUUUCUGAGGAGGCAGAGAGAGCUGCAGUGGAAUUAAUCCAUCCACCAUCCUAUUCUGCCACUGGUGAGGAGGAGGAUCUGUUUUCCAGGAGUGGAUAUCUCAGCCUCCUAGGAAAAGUUGAAAAAAUCCAGAAAGUAAGGAUGACAAUGUCAGACAUCCCAGUCUUGGACCUCAAAAUGAAGUGCGGCGAAAGGCUCCUUGAUGUGUCCCUGUGGAGGGAUGAAGCACUCAGUGAACUCCAUGAGGGAGACAAUGUGCACAUCAGCCAUAUGCGUGCCACCAUUUUGGCAAGUGGCAAUGCAAAACUUCAGUCAUCGAACUAUACUACCAUUAAGGUACUUAUGAUUAUAUACUCCACAUUACACAGUAGAGCUAUCGUGAAUUUCUGUCUAAUAAUUAGUACACACACACUCACUGGCACUUGCUCACUAGCGCAUACACGCACAUGCACGCACGCACUCCCUCUCUAGUGCACGCACUCACACAAAGACACAGACACUCACUCACCAGUGCAAACACACACUUACUCACUAGCGCACACACAUACACUCCCUCACUAGCAGGCACACACACACUCACUCACUCGCUCUUGCUCACUAGCGCACACACAUAUACUCACUCGCUAGCACACACACACACACACAUACAUACACACACUAGUGCACACAGACACACACACAUUCACUCACCAGUGCAAACACACACUUACUCACUAGCGCACACACAUACACUCCCUCACUAGCAGGCACACACACACUCACUCACUCACUCUUGCUCACUAGCGCACACACAUAUACUCACUUGCUAGCACACACAUACACACACAUACAUACACACACACUAGUGCACACAGACACACACACAUUCACUCACCAGUGCAAACACACACUUACUCACUAGCGCACACACAUACACUCCCUCACUAGCAGGCACACACACACUCACUCACUCACUCUUGCUCACUAGCGGCACACACAUGUACUCACUUGCUAGCACACACACACACAUACAUACACACACACACUAGUGCACACAGACACACACACAUUCACUCACCAGUGCUCACGAGUAAACGAUAGUAAACAAUCUCAGCAUCUUUGCGGAAAAAGUGAGGAACAAACUGAUCUCUGCUUCAUUACAGUUUGCACAUAUUUUUUUGUCAUGAACGUUGAUCUUCCCUCAAAACAGCCGGUAAAAGAGUCGUGCGAUAACCUGCGUCAUCACUAAGACACGGCAUUAAAUCUGGCUUUUGUUCACACAGCGCUCGUCCCUGGAUUGAACACGGCAAUGUUACUAGGUCCCUGACCCGGGUUCAAUGCCAGAAUCAAUCCCGGGACGUGUUUGCUUUCACACAUAAGGCGACCCGGCAAUGUUCCGGCAAUUUGCCAGGUCCGACGUGCAGUGUGAAAGGGGCUUUACUCACACUCACUAGCAUGUGCACACACAAACACACAGUGAAAUACAAACAGUCAAUUAAAUUAAAAGGUUUUUAAUGUUUUAUGUUUUUUUUUCAGAUCGAGGAGGUUGAACCUGUCGAACAGGAAGUUGAAGUUGUGGGAGUGACUGAAAUUGAUGACAACUGCCACCUACUUACUGCGGAUGAUGAAAUCUUUGUUGUGCCUUCUGAACAUUAUUGUGGCAGCAUUGAUGACCUAAUCAUGGAGUUGCCCAUGAAAAUUAUUGUAAAUCAUGUUAAUAAACGAGUAGUUAGCGUACAAACAGUAAACUAAUCAGUAAUCAGUUCAGCGAAUCAGUUUUAUUGUAGUCAUAGCUUUAUAGACUAAUCAGUAAUCAGUUCAGCGAAUCAGUUUUAUUGUAGUCACAGCUUUAUAGACUAAUCAGUAAUCAGUUCAGCGAAUCAGUUUUAUUGUAGUCAUAGCUUUAUAGACUAAUCAGUAAUCAGUUCAGCGAAUCAGUUUUAUUGUAGUCACAGCUUUAUAGACUAAUCAGUAAUCAGUUCAGCGAAUCAGUUUUAUUGUAGUCAUAGCUUUAUAGACUAAUCAGUAAUCAGUUAAGCGAAUCAGUUUUAUUGUAUUUUAUUUUUUUUGUAGUUAUAUAUAUAUAUAUAUAUAUAUAUAUAUAUAUAUAUAUAUAUAUACACUUUUGCAUAAUAGUAAAAAAAUAUUUUACACUAUUAGUUAUUUGUGCUUAUGCUAAUGCAAAUUAAUGUUAAAUAAAUUUGUUCUUGUUCAAAUUUAUUGCAAUUGUUUAAACACUUUAUUGCACAAUCACUUAGGCUGUGUCUGUAUUUAUACCUCACUAUCACACAGAUGAAUUCAAAAACACAAAUCUUAAUUAGUAAUGCUUUUUAGAAAUCUUAUGAUCACCAAGGCUGCAAUAAUUUUAAAAUUGAAAACCUUAUGCACAAAUGCUAUUUUGGGGAUUUCCGCUUGGCAUUUUUCCUACCUAAAUUCAAAAGCUUCCCAUACCCACACCCACAUGCAGUGGUGUACAUACAAAAGUUUGGUAUCAUUUUACAGGAAAUCUUUUGAAAUUACAUUAAACAGUUGAAAUUGAUGAAAAUGAUCUUAUAUGUUGUAGCUCAAUUGGUAGAGCACUGCGCUAUCCAAAUUUGAAGUGUCCCCAUACCCACAUACAUUGGAAUAAAUGCAAUCUUUAUAUCAUUUGACAGAAAACACUUUGAAGUUACAUAAAAAGCUGUUUGCGACAAAUAUUCUUAUGUUGUUUUUCACAUGAUGAAAAACCUCAACACAAUGCACUUUUGUGUGUGUGUGUGUGUGUGUGUGUGUUCUAAUCACUGUCUUUGAAAGUGGAUAACUGGUACUGCAAACUGCAUUAAAUUAUAAAAUAUAUCUCAUCUAUCACAAUCUAAAAUAAAAUCCACAAUCUCCAGCUUUAUAUCAUUUCAUUUAUGUGCAUUCUGUAUAGGUAUACUGAUUGAGAGCAUCUGACCUCAGCAUCAUCUGUAUCCCUGUAUCUCUCCAGCCUCUCUCUCAUCCGUCUGUGUGUUUGGUCGCGUGCGUGCUAAUCCACUAGCCGGAGUUGCUACAUGGCCUUCAGAGAGUCAAACAAACAAAUAUACGUUCAUCCACAUAGCACUGUAAUAAUCCAUAUGUAUUUACUGUAUAUUUCCUCAGAUGCAUCAUGUACUGUACUUUUCUGUCAAUAAACAGUUUAUCAGUAUGCUAGCUGUGCUUUUACGUUUCAAAAUAAAGAUAAAAAUAUAUAAAAGUAACUAACACGUUUAUAGCCUCACCAGACGUGUCCUGUACUCUCCAUGGCGCCGGUGCUCAUCGGACCAUAACUUGUAAUAUAAUUAUUAUUUAAUUGAUAUUCUCCGAGACGUGUAUGCUCAAACCUUUCCGCAUGCGAGUUUUGCAUACAAUCAGCCGAAAACUCCAAAUCCCAGCGUGCAUCGCGGUCCCGGUGUCAUUUCUCAGGACCCAGAGUGAUCCCAUUGGCUCAACGAACAAUUAAUGGGUAUUAUUUUUAGCGCCUGAUUACAAUUCCUGCAAAAUCGUUUAUAAUUGUUGUUGUUUGAACUGUGCUAUAAUGACCAUUAAUGUCUUUUAAAUUACAUGUUUUAUAGGCUAAUAUAUAGCCGACGCUAUAGGUUGUGAAAUCAA
ensembl:lncRNA